CGUGCGAUUGUUAUAUCAUAAAUUCAUGGAAUUGGAAGCAACACUAAUCUCUAGUUCUACGGAUUACUUCUUAAAGCUAUACAUACAGUUCAAAUUCAAGCCGAUUCUUCUACCCGAAUCGUCUACCGCCGUCAAUCAGGCAUGGUAAUGGCUAAGACAAGGAGUAGGAAUAGAAAUGGGAAUCAUGAUGAUGCAUUUAGCAAGAAGAGGUUCAAGACUCGUGACAAAAGUGGUGUGGUACCCUGGUGAGAUCUUAACCACGAUGUUAUUUAUAUAGUUAUGAUGCGACUGAGAGUUGUCGAUUUUCUUGCAUUCAGCAGAGUUUGCAAAUCAUGGGGAUCGUUCGCACUCUCUAAUAGAAAGAGGUUUAUGGCGUCCAAACCACCCAUGUCCAUGUCUAUAUGCUUGUGCUAGGAAAAGCAGCUAUGUAACAUCCCAAAAAUUAAUACGAAAAUUUUUCGUUUUUAAGGGUGACUUUUCACGUAAAGUUGGCAACUUUACACUCAAUCAUGGCUUAAUGGGACUCAAAGCUCAAAAAGGAGCUUAAUAAAGAUCUUAAUGCUUGCAUGGACCAAUAUCCUCCAUAUAGUUUGCAUUUUUAUGAACAUGGGGCCUAAAUGGAGCUAAGAUCUAGUAGCCUUUGCUUCUGGAGUAGAUUAAAAGCUCAACUUUAACAAAAAAGACUCAAAAGUGAAUAAACAACACCAUAAACUAGAUCUAGCACAAAAGACCAUCAAGGUGAGAGCUUUAUACCUCAAAUGGCUUGAAAUGAUGAUGAAGCUGGAUCUACAAGCUCAAGCUACUCCCAAGCAACCACCAAUAUUUCUUCUUCUUCUUCUUCUUCUUCUUUCACUAAAACACCACCAAAAUCUCACUUACAAGCUCAAAAACUCACAAUAGGCAAUUAGGGCUUCGAAUUCAGGGCAUAAGAUGAUGGAGGUUGAUCAUAAGGGUGUCUAAAUGCGAGAAAAGUUGUUUAAAUAGGUUGCAAACUCUAAAAUUAGGGUUUACCCGUACCUCGUGUACAACAUGUGUACUCUAUGUACGCCCCCGCGUACGUGGAUGAGUCCCGCGAUCUGGGAAUAGCUUGUAUAAUAAGCGUACUCCUAGAGUACGCCCUACAUACUAGCUAGGGACCAAAAUGUAAAGUUUUGCAUUAAGGCUAAAAGGGAAAAAUUACCGGAAUAUGAAUGUUACAAGCUGCUACCUGGAGGACUUUAAAGGAUGAUGAAUCAAAACCCUCCUUCCCAGUUCUGUUAAAAGAACAUGUGUUGGAUUAACUUAUGGUUACAUGAUCGUAUACAGGGAGAAAACUCGUGACUUCUGUCUUGUGAAUCCUAUCACAAAGUAUGGACUUCAUUUUCCUAAUGUCCCCUUUCAUGUAAAUCCAGGAAUAGGAGUCAAGGAUAUCCUUGCCUUUUCACCUUCAAUACAUGGGUACGUGUUUGUUGUGAUAAAUGGCUACGACUACCAAAUAUGGAUUUCUAUAGAGGUAAAAAAAGAAUGGAAUCAUGAGUACACCAAUUUUCACAUCCAUGAUUUACAUGCUUUCAUGGGGAAGAUAUAUACACUAAUUGUCGAUUUUUCAUAGGUAUUUCAAAUGAGACUUGCUCCGGUGACAACAUUGACAUUACUCUAUACACAUUUUCCGAAGCUAAUCCGAGUUUUCGAGUUUGUAUGUUUGGAUGAAAACCUUUAUGUGAUGGCAUAAUGGUCACAAGGUUAUGACAAUAUUCAAAAACCAAAUAUUUACAAACUGAAUUGGGUGCCUCUUGAAAAGACAAUAGAAGAAUGUGCAUUCUUUCAUAGUUACAUGAGGCAAAGUGGUGCUACUAUUAAACUAGAGUCAUUUGUUGCCCCAUCGUCCCAAUACUGGAGAUUUUCUGACAGUGAUAAUCCUGGAAAAGGCAGGUUGUUUGUUGCAAAAGACAUGUAGUGCUUUCCCCAUGAUUGUAUGAAUGUAAAUAUCUUACAUGAGUAAUAGGCUUUUUACCACUCUUAUUUUUGUUUUUAUUUUUUCAUAUGUUUGAACAUUCUCAAGAUGUUGAGAGUCUACAUUUAUUGAUUUACGUGUUGUAAUUUAUUGUUUAAAGAAUCAUGUUGUUGUGUACUCUUUGCUUCAGAUAGAACAACUAUAUAUCAAUUAUAUCUCCCUUUUACUAUUA